CUCAGAACGAACGCUGGCGGCAGGCUUAACACAUGCAAGUCGAGCGCGUAGCAAUACGAGCGGCAGACGGGUGAGUAACGCGUGGGAAUCUACCCAUCUCUACGGAACAACUCCGGGAAACUGGAGCUAAUACCGUAUACGUCCUUCGGGAGAAAGAUUUAUCGGAGAUGGAUGAGCCCGCGUUGGAUUAGCUAGUUGGUGGGGUAAUGGCCUACCAAGGCGACGAUCCAUAGCUGGUCUGAGAGGAUGAUCAGCCACACUGGGACUGAGACACGGCCCAGACUCCUACGGGAGGCAGCAGUGGGGAAUAUUGGACAAUGGGCGAAAGCCUGAUCCAGCCAUGCCGCGUGAGUGAUGAAGGCCCUAGGGUUGUAAAGCUCUUUCAACGGUGAAGAUAAUGACGGUAACCGUAGAAGAAGCCCCGGCUAACUUCGUGCCAGCAGCCGCGGUAAUACGAAGGGGGCUAGCGUUGUUCGGAAUUACUGGGCGUAAAGCGCACGUAGGCGGAUACUUAAGUCAGGGGUGAAAUCCCGGGGCUCAACCCCGGAACUGCCUUUGAUACUGGGUAUCUCGAGUCCGGAAGAGGUGAGUGGAAUUCCGAGUGUAGAGGUGAAAUUCGUAGAUAUUCGGAGGAACACCAGUGGCGAAGGCGGCUCACUGGUCCGGUAC
rnacentral:rRNA from 1 species